GUUGGAUAGUGAAGAGACAGAGGGGUCCCUCAGAGAGAAAGCAUCUGACAGUGGAGAGAGAGAGGGGUCCAUCAGAGAGAAGGUGUCGGACAGUGAAGAGAGAGAGGGGUCCAUCAGAGAGAAGGCAUCUGACAGUGGAGAGAGGCGGGGGUCCAUCAGAGAGAAGGCAUCUGACAGUGGAGAGAGGCGGGGGUCCAUUAGAGAGAAGGCGUCCAGAGGAGAGAGGCGGGGGUCCAUCAGAGAGAAGGCAAGGUCAAGUGAUGAGAAGCUGAGGCUGAGUAGAGAGAAAUUAAGGCCCAGUGAAGAGAAGCCUAGGACUGGUGAUGAAAAUCUGGGAUCCACUGGAGAUAAACUGAAGUCAGAUUUUGAGGAAGUACCGUCCGAUGAGAUGAAGCUGGAACAGCAUUCACAAAUGGGAAAUACAGUAGAAGAGAAUAUUGAAAGAGUGGAAAGUAUUACUGGUGAUGAAAGUAUUAUGGAAAAUAUGAGUCUGGAACAAAUUCCUUCUGAAAGUGUACAAGGGAGAGAUGAACAAGAGGAAGCAGAGGAAGGGGUGGAAACUGACAAUACUGUCUUGGAUGAGAUGAAAGAUACCGCUGAUGAAUCUGUUCCUAUGGAAGAAAAAGACAUAACUGGAGAAGGCUCUGGGGAAUCGGGUGGAUGAAGGAGAUUGGAGAAGUAUUGAAAGUCAAAGAGAAGCUAGAGCAAAACAAAACUCUGUUGAUCCCAAAAGGGUAAAUAUGAGUGAGGAUUCUGGAAUUGAAAGGACAGGGAAAUGGAGCAGAGUUACUGGACAUGGAGGCCAAGCCAAUAUCAACGGAAGUGAAGAGUGGGAAAGAGGGAAAUGGGAACAUUUUAAGGAGAAAAAAUUGGGAAUGAAUGCUAAGUAGAAGGAAAGUGACUGCUUCAUUCUUGAACUAUUUGAGAAAUGAGUCUAGGGUGGGCUGGAUUUUGGCAGACAUGUACUGGUCAGGAGUAUGAGAUGUAGGAGAAUGUCAAAAAGAACAAAUUAUAGCAAGAUAAAGGAUGAACAUUGAGGGUUGUGGGAAAAGCAGCAAACAGGUGAUGUGUCUGAAGUAGAUAGCAAAAACUGAGGGGCUCCUGCAGGAGUGAAACAAAGGGGAAGAAGAGUGAUCGUAAUUUUUAUUAAAGGUGCAGGAAAUAAGAAGGCAUAUCCUACCGUGGUGAUUAGGGCUUCCUCUUAGCUCAGGCUGACAUCAAAAUAUCAAUCUUACUGAAUUAAGCCUUUUACUCAUAAUCUACUCUCUGCCCAAGAAGAAGAAAAGGCCUCGAGUAACCAGUGUCAAGACUCCAUUAUCCAGCUGGAGAGUUGGCUCCAUGGACCUAUGUCUACCUGAAAGCAUCAUUUGAAGAUUCCUCUGGUGACUCUAUGAGCUGAGGCAUUGUCAUCUCUUUAAGAGACACCUUGGGCACAAGAUCAAGACAGCAUUUGCCCUGCAUGGGAAAUGACCUACAUGUCAGGAUUUAGAAAUUCUGUCUUUGGCUGGAUGAGUUCUUUGCCUGAGCUGUCAGAUACAUUUCAUCAAGACCACAGACACCAUGAAGAUCAAGUUAUUAUGACAAAUGCCAACUUCCUGUUCCUAAGACUUCCAGAUCAGACCUGCUCCCCAGGUGUUCUCCUGACACUCUUUCUGCACUCACAUCUGGGCUGUUACAUCACAGGACACCCUUUCCUGAGUCCUCCCUCUGCAUCAAAGGUUGCCUAUAGCUCCUUGGACCCAUGAGACACAAGCCUUUUUGACCUACAACCCUUUUCUGGUCUCAGCAGGAUACCCAAACACAACAGUGGACAAAGACCUACUCCCUCGGAGGAGCUACUCAGUCCAAGGCAUUUGGAAACCAGAGACAACAGAGAUUUUUAUUAACCAUCGAACAGACUCCCUCUCUUAAGUUUCUGGCUACCCACUCUCAGCUGUGUCCUCUGCAAAGCUGAAGGAAGACUCUGGAAGCUUGUAUAGGGAGGAAGGCUGAAGCCAUGGUGAUGGGCAAUUCCCAGGUCAAGCCCAGCAACACAACAUUGCCAGUGCAUGGUAAACCUCCCCUCCAGGUGGUCUCCCAGAAGUCCCUGGAAGGAAGGUCAGAACUUGCACAGUCCCAUGGUCCUCAGCCCUCCUGAUGGGAAUGGGGUCAUUGCUUAGCUGGUCAAAAAAAUGUGCCCCAAGAGCCUGUGAGGUAGGGUGACAGAAACGUGCCUAGCUGGCUCCUGGGGUCAUGGCUGGCUGGUGAUGGAAUGGCUCAGCAAGGAGACAAAACACACCCCCUGCACUCCAGUGAUCUGAGGCAUCCAAGCAUAGACUGAGGCCAAUUCCUCUUUUUAAUUUCCAAAGCUGUGGGAAAAACUGCGGCUCCAGUGGCCACCUAACUUAUAGAAGGAAAAUUGAGUCCUGUAACUCCUAACCCCAGGUCUUUCUCUUCACUCAACCAAUGAGGAGAAAUUCUUCCAAGUGCUUAUUUCUCACCCCAGGCAACCCUGAGAGAGGGAGCAACUACCUGCAUGUCUCCUCAUCAGGACAGCUGUAGUAGGUGGCAGCGACCACCCAGAGGUCUAUGUACUCGAUGGGACAAGCUAUAGUGCCAGAUCUUUGUGUUCCUCAGAUCUAUGCUGGGAAAAACCUCUAGAACCUUGUGAAGCAGAGUAUCUUUGUCCUUUGUGAAAGUCAACAUAUGAUCUGUUACUGAUUGGGAUGUGAAAUAAAACUAAAAAUAACACCA